UCUUAUUAAAACUCGGUAUUGUGAUUGCUGAUAGAUCGCAUCUCUGUUUCAUCCCUGUCUUCAAAAUGUACAGUGCGUUAUUAUGUCUUCAAAAUGUGCACAUUUCAGCCCUGUGGUAGGUACGUGCGUACAAUCUUGUUAAAAGCUAUUUGAACUUUUCCUUGAUCGAAUACCUUAAAAGACUGAUAAAGGUUCCUGAAGAAAUGUCUUCGACUGUGGACUGACUCGAAGAAACGGGUUUGCUCUAAACCGACUUCUCGUGCUAGUAACAACCUUAAACCACUGGCUUUUUGGAUCGCAACUCGCAUCUUCUUCUAAACAUUUGCAGCUUUUCGUCACAAUGUUGUUACUAUCCGAAUCCACAUCCAGACAAACUGAUUCUCCGUUCUUUGUUAUGGACGAGAGCUGCAUCUUUGACUCGGACAAAAGUUUCCAUCGUGAACAAUAAGAUUCUGAGAAAUACAGACGCAGCUUCACGGACUUUCCUUUCUCAUAAGCUUUUAAGCACAAGAUUUUUUCUUCUGCUAGUGACAAAACUCGUUGAGAAGAAAGUCUAAAGCUUUCUGAUCGAUCGCAAGAACCUAGCUUAAGUUGAAACAGCGACUUCCUCACGAUGCAAAGUCCAGUUGAAGGAUGGAAUAUUAUUUUCUUGGGGUGUGUUUCCAUUAGACCUGGUCCUGAAUAUUGCAAACUUGUUUUAUUAAUGACAACAAAAAACAUGAGUGCAACAAAGUUUCUAAACUAAACUUAGUUUUAUAUAUGUAACAUAUCUUUUUUUGAAACACUUUUUUUUUGAAACACAUGUAACAUAAUAUUUAACUUAUAUUUUUUAUAACUAGUGUCUAGUGUAAUAAAUAUAAUCAAGAAACAUGUAGCAACUAGCCAUUAUUUUCUACAACUUUUAAAUAAACAAAUCUACAACUCUUAACACAUGAAAAUAUUGUUUUUGAGAAAAAUGAGAAUUCGACUGGGAUAGACUGAUUUGAUAUGUCUGGCUUAGGCAUGUUCAUGAAAAUAAUAUAUAUAUAUAUAUAUAUAUAUAUAAAUAAUCGGGUUUCACAUAUAUAAUUUAUAACAAAACUUUCAAGAUCAACUUAGUUUUGUAUGGGUGUAAUAUAAUAUCUAAUUGUAUUUUUAACUCAGGGAAAAUGUCAAAAAUGUAAAUGUAUAAGAGCUACAAGUUCUAGUUGUGUACCUCUAAAAGGAGACUGUAUAGCAGAAAUCAUCUGCAGAAUUGUUGAGUUUCUUAUACUUGACCAACUCCAAUCCAAAACUCCAUAGGUUUCAUCAUAACCAAUAGUUUUCUCUCUUAUGUAAUAGCUUCCUGCAAGAGUCCAUAGCGCCCAAUCUAGAUCAAGAUCCGCUGCUAAAGCCAUAAAACAACUCAGAAACCUAUUGUCAUUCACGUUGUUUCCUCUUUGAUCAAUCCCAAACUCGCUCACAAACAAUACCGAAUGAAUGGUGAAGAAAUUUAUGGGAAGCAAGUUGUGAUCGAAUUUAGCCGACCAGGUGGGCUUAAGAACAAGUUCACGCCAUUUAGGCAACCGCAGUUACCGUUUCAGCCGCGACAAGUUCUAUUGACUCCUCCUUUGAAGCAGUCUGUUAUUCUGACCAAUAGUAAAAGCAAGAGUGUGAGCCCUAAUAAUGGAGUGGAUGUUGUUGAAGCUUCUAUGCGUUCGUUGUGUGACAUCGAUGAUGAAGCAGAACCUGAAACAAAGAGCAAGAACGUGGCUAAGUUGGGGAGGAAAAAGCAGAUGAAGAGCAUGGAACUAAGUCAGUUUCUUAUCAGUGAAGAAACAAUGAAUGAUCCAAGUUGCAGAGAUCCACGUACCACUUAGAUGAUAAAGAACAUACCAAACAAGUACAGGUUCGGCUUUAUAAUCUAAUUAUUCGUAUUUUAAAUUUUAUAGAUUUAAAGUUGGACGAUUUUUCAAAUUUUAGGACGGCUAAAGAUUUUAGAUCUUUCUAAUCUUUUUAUUAAAAUAUUCACAUGGAUUCGUGUGUUAAGAUGCUGUUUAUAUAUAUUCAAAGAUUUAUAUUCUAGAUAAAAUGCUCUUACGCUAUGUUCCAUCAAUUCAAGCUUUUAAUUAUCUUCGUGUUUGAUAUUACAAUUAGUCGGCUAACAUUUUCCUGGAUGCUCUUAUAUUUCAGAUUCCUAUAGGUUUUGUUUAUAUGAGAUUCCAAUUUAAUUUUAUAGUUAAGUGUUUUUUGGUUUUGUAUAGUCAAAAGCUGCUGUUGAAUAUGCUGGAUAAUCACUGCAUUCACAUCAACGAAGCUAUCACCGAGGAGGAGAGGGACGAACACAAAGCUCAUCAUGAUCAGCCAAUUUCUUCUUAUGAUUUCGUGUAUCUCCCGAUGGAUUUCAAGUAAUCAAACACCGGACUUUAUUGACUAUAUAGUAUUACUAUUAUAUAUAACUAAAAUCAUAACUCCUUUUUUUGGCUUUGAUAUUAGCAACAAGUGCAAUGUUGGUUAUGGAUUUGUGAACAUGACAUCCCCGGAGGCAGCUUGGAGGCUUUACAAGGCGUUUCAUCGCCAGCGUUGGGAGAUUUUUAAUUCGCAUAAGAUUUGCCAAAUCACAUAUGCGAGAGUUCAGGUAGACAUAGACAUUAGUGUUUUGAAAUCGCUUACCAAAGUAUAAGCUAAAUUUUUUAAUGUCUAUGAUAAUUGGGUGUCACAAUAUGAUUAUUUUGUUACUUUUUUCGUCCAAAAACAGGGUUUGGAGGAUCUAAAGGAACACUUCAGGAGCUCAAGGUUUCCGUGCGAGGCCGAACUGUACCUUCCGGUGGUUUUUUCGCCUCCACGAGACGGGAAGCAGUUAACGGAACCUGUUUCUAUCAACAUCAACGACUGCACCGGGCUCAAUAAUAUUCAUCAUCUCGAGCCUAUUGACGGUCCAGAUCACUCUGUGGGUGGUUCAUGUUGCGGUAGUGACAAUGAUAACAGUCAGGAAGAUGGAUUAUCCGGCAAUAACAUAGAUGGUGGACGGAGUUUCACGGUGGUAGGAGCGACAUCUUUCUAGAAGUUGUUUGUAAUGUAAACCAUAAAUAUAUGAAAGUGUAAUUAGACAAAUCAUGUUGUUUAUGUUUUAUGCGUAUUAUGUUGUCUCAUUCUAAAUUAUAUUUUCGACGCGAUUUACUUAUCAAGCAAAGUUCUGAAAAGUGAUAGUUUGGGUGAAUGUCUGAAUGAGCAAAGUAACAAUGAAUUCCAACUUGUUAUUUUUCUAAAACUUUUUGCAUGCGGAAUCGUCUAUAUUUUGUACUCAUAUUUUCUCUCUUGGAUAGUGUAAUGUAGGAUGGCAUAAUAUGACUAAAUUUUAUUAAAUUUAAGAAUAAAACUUGCAUCAAAUGAUGUCAUUCAAGCUAAUAAUAACAAUUACAACAUGUUGUUUACAAACACUCUAAUUUUUUGUUUGGUUACAAUUGAGAAUAUGUCCAUAACACAACCUAUUUGUUGAUAUUUAUUUUAUAAAAUGAAUUCAUGGUUAUAUAUCAAAUGAUGUUAAACUUCAUAAGCCUAUUGUUUCUUGUAGGACAAAUGAUUAAGAAAUUAAUAAUAUUAUGUCAUUAAAAUUCAUUAUUAUUAAAUGAUAAGGUGGAAAAUGGGUGGUAAACUAGAAAUGGUUGACCUAGGGUUAGAGUCCCUUUUCAGGCAAAGAUACCAGUCUUUGUUCUAGCGUUUAUAGCUGUCUUAUUCAGUGACCUGCUGAAAGGGACAGCAGAUAACUCUGUGCUAGUGAUGAUCACAAUCUGUAUUUCCCUCUGGUUCGUGGGGUUUGGACACGUGGUGAUAUCUUCACCGUUCGUAUUGUUCAUGGCAGAGUUGAUAGGGAUCGUUGACUACAACUUGUAAGUUGUGUAACCUUCUGAUGUAUAUUUGCUAAUUUUUUAUUUAUUUUAAAGCCUUUUUAGAGUGACGAAAAAGAACAAUGCAAUCCAAUUUUUUAUUUAUUUUAAAGCCUUCUAGUGCAUGCUAUUUUAGAUUUUAUUGGGUCUGUAAAUUUUUUAAAAGUCCAUCCUCUUAGAAUUGAAGAUCAUUUCAACUUAUCAGUGUGUUUGGUAUAAAUGUAUAGUAUUAGUAUGCCAGAUCCAACAACACAAAUUCAAAUUCAUGUAUCAUAGCAUGCACUAGCUAGCACUACCCAAUUUUCUGCUUGUUGUUUAUGGAACAAAUUAUAAUAAAGGCGGCCCACAAGAAAGAUCGAAAUUGAUUAUAAUCAUGUAACAAUAUGGGCCUAUAAUCAUGAGGCCCAUUAACGACAUUACCCUAAUCUCUCUCUCUCGCUAUAAGAGAGCAAGAUCCUCUAUAAACCCUAAUCAUUCAAGUCCCAGUCGUCAAGGCAAGCCGUCGGCAUUCUAUCUUCUUCCUCUUUCAUAUCUUAAUCUGUUUUCAAUAAUUUAUUUUGUUUUUUUUUUUGUGGUCAUUGAGAAUCACUCGCUUGCUUUCGAAAGGCGUUGCGCUCUUCGUGUUGGGAUUCAGUUUCCCUGAAGGGCGUGUCACCGGAAGCGUACAUUCAAAAUCUUCAAUUCGAUCUAUAGGGAUGUGAUAUUCGGAUUCGUUCGAACUAGCAAACCUCGAUUCCGAUGGCUUAUUUUUACCGAUUAGCCAUCGAUUCAUCGCGUUGAGAAAUUUCUAAUCUUGAAUUAAAAUUUUGAAAAUAAGGGAUGGGAUUUGCUUCAUAAUGGUGAACUCUCUUAGAUUAUAAAAGUGAGAGAUGUUCAAGUUUCCGGAGCAAAGAUCAAUUUGGCCAGAAUUAAACAGCUCUGUGUUUAUAUCUUCAAUGUUCACAGUGUUACCUGUCUUCUGGUAUAUUCCAUUUUUUACUACCUAAUCUCAUUCUCCCAAGGUUACCAAUGAGACUUUAAGUCAAAAAGGCCUGAUUAUUCAAUGCCCAUUUAUAGGCCUAAGCUUUUAAUUUUAAGGCCCAAAUUGGUCAAAUAAGGCCGGUUACAAUGUGAUACAGAUCAAAUGUUAUACAAAUCAAAAAUUGCAAGCAAAACGUACAUAUCAUAAUUAGGGAAAAAACUUGCAUCGUGUUCACGUAUCUUUUAAGAAACAUAAAAUAAAUACCUUCCAAUCCAAUAUUUUAUGUUUUUGAAAAUUCAAAAACAGAAACAAUAACCAGAGAGGAACAAUUACGCAGAAUUGUCUUAUUAAAACUCGGUAUUGUGAUUGCUGAUAGAUCGCAUCUCUGUUUCAUCCCUGUCUUCAAAAUGUACAGUGCGUUAUUAUGUCUUCAAAAUGUGCACAUUUCAGCCCUGUGGUAGGUACGUGCGUACAAUCUUGUUAAAAGCUAUUUGAACUUUUCCUUGAUCGAAUACCUUAAAAGACUGAUAAAGGUUCCUGAAGAAAUGUCUUCGACUGUGGACUGACUCGAAGAAACGGGUUUGC
rnacentral:lncRNA from 1 species